GAUGAACGCUCGCUACAGGCUUAACACAUGCAAGUCGAGGGGAAACGACAUCGAAAGCUUGCUUUUGAUGGGCGUCGACCGGCGCACGGGUGAGUAACGCGUAUCCAACCUGCCCACCACUUGGGGAUAACCUUGCGAAAGUAAGACUAAUACCCAAUGAUAUCUCUAGAAGACAUCUGAAAGAGAUUAAAGAUUUAUCGGUGAUGGAUGGGGAUGCGUCUGAUUAGCUUGUUGGCGGGGUAACGGCCCACCAAGGCAACGAUCAGUAGGGGUUCUGAGAGGAAGGUCCCCCACAUUGGAACUGAGACACGGUCCAAACUCCUACGGGAGGCAGCAGUGAGGAAUAUUGAUCAAUGGACGAGAGUCUGAACCAGCCAAGUAGCGUGCAGGAAGACGGCCCUAUGGGUUGUAAACUGCUUUUAUAAGGGAAUAAAGUGAGUCUCGGGAGACUUUUUGCAGGUACCUUAUGAAUAAGGACCGGCUAAUUCCGUG
rnacentral:rRNA from 1 species